ensembl:lncRNA
AACCCUGGUUCUUGAUGUGCAGCCUUUUAACUUCUGUGCUCGACGUGCAGUUUUUAUCCUUUUGUAUAGGUGAUUUGGGUGGAGUGGCACUGCUGUGUGGUGUGUAUUACCUAGAUGGUUGACACUGAAAUGGUGUUUUGAAGGUUACUCUUUGUUUGCGGUGUAUGCUGUGGGUCUUCUCUUUUCUUCUGUCCCUUACAGGUGAUCGGCGGUGCAUAAGAGCAGGCCCGACCCUCCUUGCCAUUGAGGAGAGCUAUUUUCUACUGUUGUGGAUUUUAUUAUUGAUGCAUGUUUUUUUUUUUUUGAUUGUUUUUAAUGUUUUGCUUAGGAAUAAAAUUGUGAUAUUCAACCAACUACGUUUACGGUUUAAAAAAAAAUUAAUACUUGAUUUGUGGAGGGCUCCUCCUGCCCUAAAUAAGGAGGAGGCGUAGUCAGUUUAUAGUUUCUUACACUACAUUGAGAUGCACCUGUAUGUGUUUCUGGGUGCUCCUCAAACAGCUGCAUCCUACCGAGGCUGCGUCCUUCCUAGUUCAGUCCUUCAGAGUCUUGUAGGAUAGAGUCCUCCUUAGCAUUAAACGCUAGGAGACAGGGCUGUCCAAACUCAGUCCUGGAGGAGCCGGUGUCCUGAACAGUUUAGUUCCAACCCCGAUUAAACACCUGAACCAGCUAAUCAAGCUCCUACUACUAGGC